rnacentral:rRNA from 1 species
AGUGAACGCUGGCGGUAGGCCUAACACAUGCAAGUCGAACGGCAGCACAGUAAGAGCUUGCUCUUACGGGUGGCGAGUGGCGGACGGGUGAGGAAUACAUCGGAAUCUACUUUUUCGUGGGGGAUAACGUAGGGAAACUUACGCUAAUACCGCAUACGACCUACGGGUGAAAGCAGGUGAUCUUCGCACCUUGCGCGAUUGAAUGAGCCGAUGUCGGAUUAGCUAGUUGGCGGGGUAAAGGCCCACCAAGGCGACGAUCCGUAGCUGGUCUGAGAGGAUGAUCAGCCACACUGGAACUGAGACACGGUCCAGACUCCUACGGGAGGCAGCAGUGGGGAAUAUUGGACAAAGGGCGCAAGCCUGAUCCAGCCAUACCGCGUGGGUGAAGAAGGCCUUCGGGUUGUAAAGCCCUUUUGUUGGGAAAGAAAAGCAGCAGGUUAAUACCCCGCUGUUCUGACGGUACCCAAAGAAUAAGCACCGGCUAACUUCGUG